rnacentral:rRNA from 1 species
CCCUUAGAUGUUCUGGGCCGCACGCGCGCUACACUGAUGAAUGCAACGAGCUCUACCCUUGACCGAAAGGCCCGGGUAAACUUGUGAAACUUCAUCGUGAUGGGGAUAGAUUAUUGCAAUUAUUAAUCUUCAACGAGGAAUUCCUAGUAAGCGCGAGCCAUCAGCUCGCGUUGAUUACGUCCCUGCCCUUUGUACACACCGCCCGUCGCUCCUACCGAUUGAAUGGUCCGGUGAAAUCUUCGGAUUGCUGACCAAGAUCCAGCAAUGGAGCUUGGUUGCGAGAAGUUGAUUAAACCUUAUUAUUUAGAGGAAGGAGAAGUCGUAACA